rnacentral:rRNA from 1 species
AGUGAACGCUGGCGGCGUGCCUAAUACAUGCAAGUCGAACGGAGUGGCGCACGGUUGAGUAAUGUAUAGCUAAUCUUCCCUAACCUAGAGGACAACAGUUGGAAACGGCUGGUAAUACUCUCUAGUGUAGGCUGUGGCUAUAUUGUAUCAUCUAGUUGGUGAGGUAAUGGCUAACAAAGGCGAUGACGCAUAACUGGUCUGAGAGGAUGAUCAGUCACACUGGAAGGGUGACACAGUUCAGACUCCUCCGGGAGGCGGCAGUAGGGGAUAUUGCACAAUGGGGGGAACCAUGAAGCAGCACGGCCGCGUGAAGGAUGUCACUUUUCGGGGCGUAAACUCCUUUUGUUGGGGAAACGGUACCUAACGAAUAAGCACCGGCUAACUCCGUGCCAGCCGCCGCGGUAAUUC